UACAGAGGGGGCAAGCGUUGUUCGGAAUUACUGGGCGUAAAGGGCGCGUAGGCGGCCUGCUAAGUCGAACGUGAAAUCCCUGGGCUCAACCCAGGAACUGCGUCCGAUACUGGUUGGCUUGAAUCCGGGAGAGGGAUGUGGAAUUCCAGGUGUAGCGGUGAAAUGCGUAGAGAUGCGGAGGAACACCGAUGGCGAAGGCAGCCCCCUGGGCCAACACUGACGCUCAGGCACGAAAGCGUGGGGAGCAAACAGG
rnacentral:rRNA from 1 species